UUGUGGAGGAGGACGCCGAAGGUGGGGCUAAUGACUGGGGUGAAGUCGUAACAAGGUAGCCGUACCGGAAGGUGCGGCUGGAUCACCUCCUAACAGGGAGACAACAAAAUGUUAAUUAUUAAUUUUGUCACCUUAGGUCGAUCGGUAUCUCACAUUCUUAUUUUUAUUAAGGAUUUUAUUUCCUAAGUUUUUUCUAGGUCACACCCAUUACUUUUCCUGGGCCAUUAGCUCAGGUGGUUAGAGCGCACCCCUGAUAAGGGUGAGGUCCCUGGUUCAAGUCCAGGAUGGCCCAUAUCUCUAUGUUGGGGGUAUAGCUCAGUUGGUAGAGCGCCUGCUUUGCAAGCAGGAUGUCAGCGGUUCGAGUCCGCUUACCUCCACUGAUCACCACCUCUUCAUAAUUUAAGGGAAAUGUUUUGAGUUGUGAUCAAAUUCUGAACGAAUCUAGCUUCCUAAUCAAACUUAUUAAGAUGCUGGACUCAUUGAAUUAAAUUCAUUGUUUUCAGAGAACCUUGACAACUGUAUAGAUUAUUUUUAAAGACAAUAAGCAUCUUUAAUGAUGCAGAUUUAUUAUUUGUGCGAAUGCAUUAAUAACAAUUCUAUUAAGCUGAUGCUUCAAUUUUUGAAGUUAUUGGUCAAGCUACAA
rnacentral:misc_RNA from 1 species